rnacentral:rRNA from 1 species
AUUGAACGCUGGCGGCAUGCUUUACACAUGCAAGUCGAACGGCAGCGCGGGCUUCGGCCUGGCGGCGAGUGGCGAACGGGUGAGUAAUACAUCGGAACGUGCCCAGUAGUGGGGGAUAGCUCGGCGAAAGCCGGAUCAAUACCGCAUACGACCUGAGGGUGAAAGCGGGGGAUCUUCGGACCUCGCGCUAUUGGAGCGGCCGAUGGCAGAUUAGCUAGUUGGUGGGGUAAAGGCCUACCAAGGCGACGAUCUGUAGCUGGUCUGAGAGGACGACCAGCCACACUGGGACUGAGACACGGCCCAGACUCCUACGGGAGGCAGCAGUGGGGAAUUUUGGACAAUGGGCGAAAGCCUGAUCCAGCAAUGCCGCGUGUGUGAUGAAGGCCCUCGGGUUGUAAAGCACUUUUGGCGGGAACGAAAAGGACUGUGCCAAUACCACGGUUCGAUGACGGUACCCGCAGAAUAAGCACCGGCUAACUACGUG